AACGAACGCUGGCGGCAUGCCUAACACAUGCAAGUCGAACGCGUGGCUUCGGCCACGAGUGGCGCACGGGUGAGUAACGCGUGGGAACCUGCCCCGGAGUGGGGGAUAACCGAGGGGAACCUCGGCUAAUACCGCAUACGGCCUGAGGGCGAAAGAUUUAUCGCUCCGGGAGGGGCCCGCGUCGGAUUAGCUAGUUGGCGGGGUAACGGCCCACCAAGGCUAUGAUCCGUAGCUGGUCUGAGAGGAUGAUCAGCCACACUGGGACUGAGACACGGCCCAGACUCCUACGGGAGGCAGCAGUGGGGAAUAUUGGACAAUGGGCGCAAGCCUGAUCCAGCCAUGCCGCGUGGGUGAUGAAGGCCUUAGGGUUGUAAAGCCCUUUUGGCGGGGACGAUGAUGACGGUACCCGCAGAAGAAGCCCCGGCUAACUUCGUGCCAGCAGCCGCGGUAAUACGAAGGGGGCGAGCGUUGUUCGGAAUUACUGGGCGUAAAGGGCGCGCAGGCGGCGUCGGAAGUCGGGCGUGAAAGCCCCGGGCUCAACCUGGGAAUUGCGCUUGAUACUCCGAUGCUGGAGUUCGGGAGAGGAGAGUGGAAUUCCCAGUGUAGAGGUGAAAUUCGUAGAUAUUGGGAAGAACACCGGUGGCGAAGGCGGCUCUCUGGACCGAGACUGACGCUGAGGCGCGAAAGCGUGGGGA
rnacentral:rRNA from 1 species